rnacentral:rRNA from 1 species
AUUGAACGCUGGCGGCAUGCCUUACACAUGCAAGUCGAACGGUAACGCGGGGCAACCUGGCGAGUGGCGAACGGGUGAGUAAUGCAUCGGAACGUGCCCAGUCGUGGGGGAUAACUGCUCGAAAGAGCAGCUAAUACCGCAUACGACCUGAGGGUGAAAGCGGGGGACCGUAAGGCCUCGCGCGAUUGGAGCGGCCGAUGUCAGAUUGGGUAGUUGGUGGGGUAAAGGCCUACCAAGCCUGCGAUCUGUAGUUGGUCUGAGAGGACGACCAGCCACACUGGGACUGAGACACGGCCCAGACUCCUACGGGAGGCAGCAGUGGGGAAUUUUGGACAAUGGGCGCAAGCCUGAUCCAGCAAUGCCGCGUGCAGGAAGAAGGCCUUCGGGUUGUAAACUGCUUUUGUCAGGGAAGAAAUCCUCUGGGCUAAUACCUCGGGGGGAUGACGGUACCUGAAGAAUAAGCACCGGCUAACUACGUGCCAGCCGCCGCCGUAAUAC